CCAACGGCCCUCUUUAGGGCCACAAACAAACAAACCAAGCUCAGU
rfam:Toxocara canis C1995804, whole genome shotgun sequence.